rnacentral:sRNA from 1 species
ACUGCUUAGCCCCGGGUUGGUCUUGCAGGCAGCUGACCCUCUCUCACCUUCCUCGACUGACACUGGUUUGAAAAGUCAGAAACCCUGUUUCCUGUCCUGUCUUGCCUUCUGUAAUUUUGGGGGAGAACAUCUGGAGCUAGGGUCUCACUAAAUGACAAACAGAACAUUAGAAUGCUGUUCUCACAGAUCAAGGUUAGGACUUUACAUGCAUUGGCACCUGAAUCUCCAAGCAUGGCAUGACACAGAUGAAGAGUUAACACUGCACGGGUGAUCUCAAAGUCACAGACCCCCAGGGCCACUAUGCUGAGCCUCCAUAGGGUUUAUUCCAGUAAAUCACAAGGACAAUACUAGGUGGAAUUAUUCAAGACAAUGGCUCUGAGGCCCUAUCUCUCUGCCUUGACGGUCAGUUUCCAAGCAUUCCAGCUCUGUGCCACCCCAUCAUCCUCACAAUAUAUUUUUUGUGUUCUAACAGACACCAUCUCCAGAGUCUUAUGGUUUUCUGCUUGAAUCUUCCUAUAGAUUGUCCCUUACAUAUGACCUGGAUCUCCAUGCUCACAGACCCAGCAAAUCCCAAGCCACGUAACUGUCUUCCCUCUUCUCCCUCUUCGAUGGAGAAUCCUCAAUUUCAUUCUCCUCCAAGGAUUUGUGAACUCUGGCAAAAGGGAGGCACCACUGUUAAUCCAGAUCACAGUUCUGCAUUCCCUCAUUCUUAGCCACUGACCUCAGCCAGGCCCAAGAAGCUUAUGUGGUUAGUGUGAGAACACUGUUAGCUCCCAUAGCUUCAGGCUAGAGGUCUUUGCUGGAACCUACACCCACCCAAGUACUGCUGGGGUUGAAGAGGAGGCUCAUGGGAAGAAUGAAGAUGGGAGGAGGAACGACCUGCUUCUCAGCUGGAGGACUUUCAGGACUAAGCACUAGCAUGGACCAAGGAGUCUCAACUACAAACCACAUGACCUGAGUGCUGGGCCACUGAAACAGAUCGGGUUUGGCACAUCUGGAAUGGGCCUGGGACUUCCAUUCCCAGGGAGGGCCACUAAUGUCCAAAGAUGACAAGCAAGCAGCUGGGACUGCUUAGGGACCUCUGAGAGCUGAGAAGGCACAAAGUGUCUGGAGUGAGUGUGUCUGUGGGUGGCUUCUGUGUAUGGGUGCAAGCCCUAUCCCAAGCUAAAUAAAAUUCGUCUUCUCACUCCAGACCGGAGUGAGCCCCAAGCCAGGCCAGAUGAAGUCGGCCCGAGAACUCAUCAGACUGAACUGACAACUAGAGGAAGAAGUGCAGGGCUUAACAGCUUCUGGAAGUCAAAGCUGAAUAAAUGACCAGAGGGUGAAUAAUACAUUAGGGCAGACAGGGAUUUUGGCAAAGUAAAAAUCUUAUUUGACUCAAAGGAUAAAUGGAUGGAUUGGCAUGGAAGAGAAAAAAAGAGUCACAGUAAAACCUAGGGUGCUUUAAAAAGCAAGAGAAAGAUGCAUCAGGGAAAGAACAGGAGGGGGAGAAAAAAAAAACAACCCAGCCUUUCCCCAGGCAGUGAGAAAUUUGGGCACUGUGCUUAAGGCACAGGGAUUUUCAUUUUCUCCUUUAGAAUUUGCUAUUUAGGCUGAGCAUGGUGUUGCUCACAUGUGAUCUCGGCACCCAAGAAACCGGCAGGAAGAUCACCUGGUCUAAAAAAAAUAAUAAAUGAAAAAUCCUUCA